GAUGAACGCUGGCGGCGUGCCUAAUACAUGCAAGUCGAGCGAACAGACGAGGAGCUUGCUCCUCUGACGUUAGCGGCGGACGGGUGAGUAACACGUGGAUAACCUACCUAUAAGACUGGGAUAACUUCGGGAAACCGGAGCUAAUACCGGAUAAUAUAUUGAACCGCAUGGUGCAAUAGUGAAAGACGGUUUUGCUGUCACUUAUAGAUGGAUCCGCGCCGCAUUAGCUAGUUGGUAAGGUAACGGCUUACCAAGGCAACGAUGCGUAGCCGAACUGAGAGGGUGAUCGGCCACACUGGAACUGAGCCACGGUCCAGACUCCUACGGGAGGCAGCAGUAGGGAAUCUUCCGCAAUGGGCGAAAGCCUGACGGAGCAACGCCGCGUGAGUGAUGAAGGUCUUCGGAUCGUAAAACUCUGUUAUUAGGGAAGAACAAAUGUGUAAGUAACUAUGCACGUCUUGACGGUACCUAAUCAGAAAGCCACGGCUAACUACGUG
rnacentral:rRNA from 1 species